GGCCGGUUGGCUCAGUUGGUUGAGCAUGGCACUAACAAUGCCAAGGCCGUGGGUUUGAUUCCCGUGCAGUCCC
rfam:Apaloderma vittatum contig82099, whole genome shotgun sequence.